GGGGUCGUAGCUUAGCUGGAUAAAGCGUCUCCCUGUCACGGAGAAGAUCGCGGGUUCGAGUCCCGUCGACCCCG
rfam:Candidatus Yanofskybacteria bacterium RIFCSPLOWO2_12_FTLL_43_11b rifcsplowo2_12_scaffold_54027, whole genome shotgun sequence.